CCUACGGGUGGCAGCAGUGAGGAAUAUUGGUCAAUGGACGAGAGUCUGAACCAGCCAAGUAGCGUGAAGGAUGACUGCCCUAUGGGUUGUAAACUUCUUUUAUAAAGGAAUAAAACGAGGCACGUGUGCCUUUUUGCAUGUACUUUAUGAAUAAGGAUCGGCUAACUCCGUGCCAGCAGCCGCGGUAAUACGGAGGAUUCGAGCGUUAUCCGGAUUUAUUGGGUUUAAAUGGAGCGUAGAUGGGUUGUUAAGUCAGUUGUGAAAGUUUACGGCUCAACCGUAAAAUUGCAAUUGAUACUGGCAGUCGUGAGUACAGUUGAGGUAGGCGGAAUUCGUGGUGUAGCGGUGAAAUGCUUAGAUAGCACGAAGAACCCCGAUUGCGAAGGCAGCUUACUAAACUGUGACUGACAUUGAUGCUCGAAAGUGUGGGUAUCAAACAGGAUUAGAUACCCCUGUAGUC
rnacentral:rRNA from 1 species